rnacentral:rRNA from 1 species
UACGUAGGGUGCAAGCGUUGUCCGGAAUUAUUGGGCGUAAAGAGCUCGUAGGCGGUCUGUCGCGUCGGAUGUGAAAACCCAGGGCUCAACCCUGGGCCUGCAUUCGAUACGGGCAGACUAGAGUUCGGUAGGGGAGACUGGAAUUCCUGGUGUAGCGGUGGAAUGCGCAGAUAUCAGGAGGAACACCGGUGGCGAAGGCGGGUCUCUGGGCAGUAACUGACGCUGAGGAGCGAAAGCGUGGGGAGCGAACAGG